rnacentral:miRNA from 1 species
AUAAAGCUAAUUCACUGAGUGU